rnacentral:rRNA from 1 species
UACGGAGGGUGCAAGCGUUAAUCGGAAUUACUGGGCGUAAAGCGCACGUCGGUGGUUUGUUAAGCUAGAUGUGACAGCCCCGGGCUCAACCUGGGAAUUGCAUUUAGAACUGGCAAGCUAGAGUAGGGUAGAGGGGUGUGGAAUUCCAGGAGGAGCGGUGAAAUGCGUAGAGAUCUGGAGGAACAUCAGUGGCGAAGGCGGCACCCGGGACUCAUACUGACACUGAGGUGCGAAAGCGUGGGGAGCAAACAGG